rnacentral:pre_miRNA from 14 species
UUAGAAAGGAGGGAGGUUGCUGAUCCUGAAGGAGCUUCCAAAUGAAAGACCCCCAGAGCAGGGAGACCAUCACUCAAGUCUCCAGAUGACACAAUCCCCAAGAAGUCAAAAAAGACC